AUUGCUCAAAUUACCAAAUUUCUUCGUGUUUUAUUGUUUAAUCUUGUUAUUUAUUCGUGUUAUUCUAUGAAAAGAAUUAUAUCCAUUAAUGGAGUCAUAGUUCGUGAGAAAAAGUGUUCUCGAGUAGAUAAUAAAUGGACAAUAGGCGUAAGUUUUCCAACAAUUUUAUCACUUUUCGAUCGGUGUUUCAGAUUGAAUUAAUCGUUAAUCAAAUUAAUCAAAUGCUUCGAUGAGAAUUCGGAUUCGCGAGUGUCUUCGUUAUGAACUGUGUUCAGUAAAUCAAUCACUUUCACUGAUGGACGCUGAAGCAGAUAUUUCAUUUCCAUCUACCGGUGACUGCUGACUAAUGGAAUUUGGAAAAUGGAAGCUGCCGGAACUACCGGAACCAGAUAGUACCUACUCUUAUGGUAGUGAAGAUAAAAGAAUUGAAGGCUGCAGUUUGAAAAAUUAUGGUCGCGUUGGAAUCAACAGUGACGUGGUGUAUUAGUAUACGUAUGGCUGAUUGUGGAUAUGUGGAGUUACAAAAAUAGAUUUGAUUGAAACUAUAUGAAGAUGAUGGUGCUCGUAUGUAAUGUAUUAAACCAAGACAAAUAUUCUGCAGUGAUCUCAGAAUCGUGCUUUUGAUGAAUGAAUUUACGUUUGAAUGUGUGACGCGGCCAUGAUUCUGUAUCAUCUGCAGUUGAUCGUCUCCGCGUUGCUGUCAAAUGAAAAUCGUUCGAUGCUGCCUUAAUGGUUUCUGCAUCACCACGCUGUGUCCAAAGAGAAAACUACGUACUUUUUGCCAAACGUCUCGGCGCUGCUGCUACUAGCUAAAAUGAACCUUCUGACUAGCUCUUUUAUCACCGAUUCGUGUAACAACUAACUAUACAGCGCCAACGCACACUCAUUCGGCAUACCGAUCGCUGUCGUCGUUUUCUUCGUGCAGAAUUUUAUAAAAUUCAGAUGGAGCUGAUCAGUUGGAUUUCUGAAUGCAGCAUCUACGAAGUAAGUCGAAACGCAUCUACGGAUUACGGGCUCUCGCUCAGGAUCCGUCGUAACGUUGGUUUAGCUUUGUGCGGCCAACUUGGACAAAACCGUAUCCUGCCAUGGAUGACAUGGGGGGUGUAGUGUCUUUUUGGCUAAGUAUAUUAAAAUAUCACCAAUCAUUUUCAACAUUUAAUAAAUUCAAAUUUAACAGACAAAAAGAAAUAUUCACAUCUAUUUUAUACAUUACGAAUCAUACGAAUAACGUGACGAUAAUUCGAUAAGAUGAACGUUAUUUACACUUUUACAUUGUUGCCAAACAUACAACAUAACACAUCUCCCUUCUAAGAAGAAUACUUCGGAAAAUUAUUUUACAAAUUCAAACGGUCUGGGACCUUUCUUGUUCGUUCGGACAUUCUUACAGGAAUUGGCCCAACUAUCGGAGACACGGCUUUUACUGGCUGCGUAGAUGAUGCAUCGACAACUUCUAUAGCAGGUUCUGCUUGGUUUUGAACAGUAGCAGGUUUAGCAGGAGUCAUCGGAGUAAUUGAUGGCGAUUUUUUCGGUGAAAUCCUCAGCGUUGGUGGAAUCUGCUGUUGGACUGAUGACGGUGUACUCAUCAUAACAUUAUUUCCAACAGGUCGCAUUUGGUCGGCAUGUCGACGAACCAAGCGACUAUCCGGCAAUUGAAUAGUAUAGUUCAGCACUCCGUCUUUAUUUAUGACCGUAACAACCUCCCAACGUUGAUUUCGUGAGGAAUAAUCACGAACAGCAACUUUCUCAGAAACCUUAUAAUCAGGAUCAUUCAAGGAUACUUGUUUUCGAUUUUUCUCGACCCAAGACUUCAAAUCUGGACGGAAAACUGUUAAUAACGAACGCAGCUCACAACCUAACAUCAACUUGGCUGGUGAUUGGCCAGUUGCAAUACUCGGAGCUCUACGAUAAGCAAAUAAAAACGUAUUCAAACGUUCUUGAACUGCAGCUUGACUAUCAGUAUCUGCUGAUUCUUUCUUCAACGCACGUAAGCUUUGUUUUAAGGUAUAAACAAAAUGCUCAGCCUGUCCAUUUGAUGCUGCAUGAAAUGGAGCACACGUUUUAUGAUCAAUUGCAUAAGCUGUGCGAAAUUUAUCGAACUCUGUACUCGUGAAGGCAGUACCAUUGUCCGAACGAACAAGAAAGGUCCCAGACGUGACCGUUUGAAUUUGUAAAAUAAUUUUCCGAAGUAUUCUUCUUAGAAGGGAGAAGUGUUAUGUUGUAUGUUU